UACGAAGGGGGCUAGCGUUGUUCGGAAUUACUGGGCGUAAAGCGUGCGCAGGCGGCUUCCCAAGUCAGUGGUGAAAGCCCGGAGCUCAACUCCGGAAUUGCCAUUGAAACUGUGGAGCUCGAGAACGAGAGAGGUGAGUGGAACUGCGAGUGUAGAGGUGAAAUUCGUAGAUAUUCGCAAGAACACCAGUGGCGAAGGCGGCUCACUGGCCCGAUACUGACGCUGAGACGCGAAAGCGUGGGGAGCGAACAGG
rnacentral:rRNA from 1 species